GACGAGCUGGAGCUCUCGGUGCUCGAGCGGCAGCCAGAAGAGCACACGCCUCUCAAUGGUGCCGACAAGGUCUUCCCUUCUUUGGACGAGGAGGCCCCCCCGACCGAGGCUAACAAGGAAAGCCCCUGGAGCUCCUGUAAUAAGAAUGUGGUUGGAAGGUGCAAACUGUGGAUGAUCAUCACCUCCAUUUUCCUAGGUCUCAUUAUAGUGAUCAUCAUAGGCUUAUGUCUUGCUGCAGUAACUUAUGUUGAUGAAGAUGAAAAUGAAAUACUUGAAUUAUCAUCAAAUAAAACAUUCUUCGUCAUGCUAAAGAUUCCAGAGGAGUGUGUUGCUGAAGAGGAAUUGCCUCACCUGCUCACCGAAAGGCUCACAGAUGUGUACAGUACAUCGCCCUCUCUGAGUCGUUAUUUUACUUCAGUUGAAAUAGUGGACUUCAGGUAAGAGUGUGGAACAUUACAUUUUGCUCUCUUUCUCUAGAAAGAGAUCCCCCCACCCCACCCUUCAUCAUUUACCUAGGAGGGAUUCCCAGAGCCUAGAGCAUGAAGGAAACCUGUAAUAGAAUCACAGAAUGUCAGUGCUGGGAAGGUCUUUUCCACCAACAGGCUCAACUCCCUUAUUUUACAAAUGAGAAAAAGGAAGCCCAGAUUAAUG
rnacentral:sRNA from 1 species